UUCAGAUUCCGUGUCUCCUUCUCUCUCUGCCCCUCUCCUGCUCGGGCUCUGUCUCUAAAAAAAUAAAUAAACAAUUAAAAAUUAAAAAAAAAUAAAAUUAUAAAGUCCAGAUCAUCAUCUAAGGUAGUGUUGUUAAAUAGAUAGAUAUUACAAGCCAAAGUGCAAUUUUAAAUUACCUCAUCACAUAUUUAAAAAGUCAAAAGAAGCAGAUAAAAUUCAUUCUUAUAGCAUUUUCCCCCAACAUAUCCAACAUUUUGUUAUUUAAGCAUGUAAUUAAGAGAAAACUACUAAUAACAUGUUUAUAUUCUUUUUUUUUACUAAAUCUUCAAAAUCCAAUGUAUAUUUUACACAUAAAAUAUAUCUCAGCUUAGACUAGUCACAUUUCAAGUACUAAAUAGCUACAUGUGACUAGUGACUACCCUACUGGAUAGCACUUAGGUAAUAUUUCAGAUUCUUACACAAUUUUUUCCUCUAUGCAAUGGUGUUCUCUUUUUUAUAUACUCUAUAUCUGUGCAAUCAUCUGAAUUAACUCUCGAAUCUUUCUUUUGAUCUCCACAUCUCCAAACUUAAUUCAUGUAACAUCAUCUUCACUCAAGUUAGUGCAGUAACUUCCCCAGUCACGUGAACUUCCUUCCUGUACCAUUCAUCCACUCUAUAUUCUUAUGCCCCAAUGACCUUCUUUAUUUGUGUACUUGACCAUAUCAUCCUCUGAUUUACAGGAGAGACCCGUACUUUUGUCUUCAUGUGAGAUGCUGUUUAUUACUUUCAUCCUGGUAACAUGGUAAUCCUAAAACUUCAAGAAAUAUUCUCCAAAAUGCUGAAUAUGUCUGGAAUUACAAGACCCUUCUGUGGUGGAACGGAGUGACUGGACCAAGGAUCCAGAUAGAAACACUGCCAGAGUCCGCACCACAAUAAGAGCUGAGUAAGUAGGGAGCCAUUGAUCAAGCAGAGAAAAUUUUCAAUUUGUGUUCAUCAGCCCCAGAUGUCAGCAACAAAUACCAGCUGAAGAUCCUGAAAAAGACCAAGCCAAACAAAUACUGCAGCAGACACAGAACACCCACUCUGCAGCAGACUGAAAACCACUCCAUGAAGACAUGAAAUCAUGCCAAGCCUGAUCACCUGAAUGCCUCAAAAUAUCUGCUGCAAUGCCUGAUAUCUAGCAAAGACCCAAAUGUUUGAUAAUUGAAUGAACAGAAACAAUCAACGAACAAUUGUUAGAGCCAAGUCUAUGUUCCCCAACUGAUAUUUCAAUUUUAUGAAGUCCAUUCAAAAUUCCAGCUGCUGAGAGGAAAUUUGAGUAAUGU